GUCGAACGCUGGCGGCGUGCUUAACACAUGCAAGUCGAACGGAAAGGCCCUGCUUUUGGGGGGUGCUCGAGUGGCGAACGGGUGAGUAACACGUGAGUAACCUGCCCUUGACUUUGGGAUAACUUCAGGAAACUGGGGCUAAUACCGGAUAGGAGCUCCUGCUGCAUGGUGGGGGUGGGAAAGCUUAGGCGGUUGGGGAUGGACCCGCGGCUUAUCAGCUUGUUGGUGGGGUAGUGGCUUACCACGGCUUUGACGGGUAGCCGGCCUUUGAGGGUGACCGGGCACAUUGGGCCUGAGAUACGGCCCAGACUGCUACGUGAGGCAGCAGUGGGAAGUCUUGUACAAUGGGCCGGAGCCUGAUGCGGCGACGUCGCGUUCGGGAUGACGGCUUUCGGGUUGCAAACCGCUUUCGCCUGUGACAGAGCGUGAGUGACGGUAAUGGGUAAAGAAGCACCGGCUAACUACGUG
rnacentral:rRNA from 1 species